UACGGGGGGGGCAAGCGUUGUUCGGAAUUACUGGGCGUAAAGGGCUCGUAGGCGGCCAACUAAGUCGGACGUGAAAUCCCCAGGCUCAACCUGGGAACUGCGUCCGAUACUGGAUGGCUUGAAUCCGGGAGAGGGAUGCAGAAUUCCAGGUGUAGCGGUGAAAUGCGUAGAUAUCUGGAGGAAUACCGGUGGCGAAGGCGGCAUCCUGGACCGGCAUUGACGCUGAGGCGCGAAAGCCAGGGAGCAAACGGG
rnacentral:rRNA from 1 species